GCGGAUCUCAAAGCCUGUCCCAGUUCGGACUGGAGUCUGCAACCCGACUCCACGAAGUUGGAUUCGCUAGUAAUCGCGCAUCAGCCAUGGCGCGGUGAAUACGUUCCCGGGCCUUGUACACACCGCCCGUCAAGCCAUGGGAGCCGGGGGCGCCUGAAGUCCGGGACCGCGAGGACCGGCCUAGGGCGAAACUGGUAACUGGGGCUAAGUCGUAACAAGGUAUC
rnacentral:rRNA from 1 species